rnacentral:rRNA from 1 species
AGAAUCAACGCUGGCGGCGUGCCUAACACAUGCAAGUCGAACGAGAAAGUGGAGCAAUCCAUGAGUAAAGUGGCGCACGGGUGAGUAACACGUGACUAACCUACCCUCGAGUGGGGAAUAACUUCGGGAAACCGAGGCUAAUACCGCAUAACAUCUACGGAUCAAAUGCGUAAGCAGCUUGAGGAGGGGGUCGCGGCUGAUUAGCUAGUUGGCGGGGUAACGGCCCACCAAGGCAAUGAUCAGUAGCCGGCCUGAGAGGGCGCACGGCCACACUGGAACUGAAACACGGUCCAGACUCCUACGGGAGGCAGCAGUGGGGAAUUUUGCGCAAUGGGGGAAACCCUGACGCAGCAACGCCGCGUGGAGGAUGAGGCCCCUUGGGGUGUAAACUCCUUUCGAUCGGGACGAUUAUGACGGUACCGGAUGAAGAAGCACCGGCUAACUCUGUGCCAGCAGCCGCGGUAAUACAGAGGGUGCAAGCGUUGUUCGGAAUUAUUGGGCGUAAAGGGUGCGUAGGCGGUGCGGUAAGUCUUCUGUGAAAUCUCCGGGCUCAACCCGGAGCCUGCAGAGGAAACUGCCGUGCUGGAUAUGGGAAAAGUGAAAUUGAAAUUCCCGGUGUACCGGUGAAAUGCGUAGAUAUCGGGAGGAACACCUGUGGCGAAAGCGGCUCACUGGACCAUUACUGACGCUGAUGCACGAAAGCUAGGGGAGCAAACAGGAUUAGAUACCCUGGUAGUCCUAGCCCUAAACGAUGAUCGCUUGGUGUGACAGGUACCCAAUCCUGUUGUGCCGGAGCUAACGCGUUAAGCGAUCCGCCUGGGGAGUACGGUCGCAAGGCUGAA